rnacentral:tRNA from 1 species
GUUUUAAUAAUUUAUAUAAAAUAUUGAUUUUGUAAAUCAGAAAUAAGAUUUCUUUUAAAACU